GGAUGCGAUCGUACCAGCACUAAAGCACCGGAUCCCAUCAGAACUCCGAAGUCAAGCGUGCUUGGGCGAGAGUAGUACUAGGAUGGGUGACCUCCUGGGAAGUCCUCGUGUUACAUUCC
rnacentral:rRNA from 3 species